ACAACAAAAUUUAAAAUGAACUAUCCCUUUCUUUCUCUUUCUCUUUCUCUCUCUCAAUUUCAAGCACGAAAAGAGAAGGCGAUCUGAGUGGAUGAGGUGAGAAGUUGGGAGCUGAUUCGCCGUCAAGGCAAAAAAUUUCUGACCAAACAUGAAAUUAGUGUUUUUCAAGGAAAUUCUGGAUCUCGUCAAUUACUCUAUAGGUUUAUACUCUAUAGGUUUAUACUUCGGAUAAUUUUCACGGGAGUUAACUUCUAGAUAGCUCCUUUAUAUCCACGAGACACAGAGAGAUUUUAGGAUUUUAGGACAGGAAAGGUCGGUUGAGAACCCUAAACCGUGGAAUUGGGUUAGCUUUUCCAAAUUUGGUGUUGGAUAAUCUUCACUUUGCAGAAAUGGGUUUUGUUAAAUGUCAGAUUGGUAAGUACAGAAGGUUUGUUUGAAAAAUUGUUUCUUAAAUACGAGUUUUUUUUUUUUAUGAAACUUAGUAUGAAAUUUUCAAAUCUGUACAAAGUUUUGUUCUUAGUUUAAUAGACACGAGUUUUAUAUUAUCAACUAAUUUGAAAUCAUUAUUGGUUAUAGAUGACGUUUUGAAUUCAUACGUAUAUUACUUUUUUAAACUUAAAUUCAACUUUUGUUUUACUUUUGCAAACGGGAAUUUCUGGGCUGUGCCAUCAUAAAUCCUAACAUGUUAGAUGUCUGAGUUUGUUCAUGCUAUAUUAGAUUGCUCUCGCUGUACUGGAUUGCAGGUAUUGUCUGCUUCUUCAGAUGACGAACAUUGAGUUUCUAUUGCCCCCUGUCUGUUAUUUAUAGAAAUUGUGGAUCUUUAUGAUUUCAAUGAGUGAAUUCAAAUAUUGGAUAUUGGCUGGUUGAUGUUUGACAUGUGGUUGUUUGUUGCGUGCUAUCUUCCGAUCCGGUCCCUUAUCAAAAGGAGUAUCUGCUUAACAUGGUUUUAUGAUAUUGAUUGUUAGAUAAUAUUAACAUUGCUGUCUUAAAUAGCAUUAUUCAUGUUGUUUCAUCUGCUGAACGCCUAUUAAAUAUCAUGGUAACAAAUAAACUGUAUACUGUGAAAACCCCAACCUUGGAAGUCAUAACCCCAAGAUAAUAUAAACUUAAAGAGUUAGGAUUUCCUUUUCUUGAAAUCCAGAUUGAUUUGAGUGAUUAAAGUUGUUCAAAUGGCUAUACAGAACAUGAUUUUCUCUUACAUUGUCAAGGAGAGAUACGAAGUUCCGAAAACUUGAAUAUAUAUGCUUCUUAGCAACAUGCCUAAUUGAAAAAAAAAUGUCGUUCUUUCUCUUUAAGAAAUUUUAAUUUAAUGAUGAAACUUAUAAGAAAAAAAUGCAAGUGAAAUAUGUUGCCAUAUAGCUGGAGGCAACAUGCAAUGGGUAAGAAUAGACAGUUGAAAUUGGGACCAUUUGGUGAGUGGUGGAUAAUAGUAGCUUAGAGUUUUCCAGUUUUCCCGUUUAGUGUAAUCUUUAGCUAUAUGAAAAUAUCAAACUCAAGUGUAGUUCAUAGCUCCAUUGCCUAUCUAGUGUCAACCCUCUUGGCGACAAACUUGCAAUAGCUACAUGGUCUUUUUAAACACUGUGAGGAUAAUUAAGAUAACUGCGAUUGUUGAAAUUCUCUACCUCCUAUUGUUUCUGAUUUGAGGAUUUUCUUGACAAUUAUUUUCCCUGAGGUCUAGAUGCUCUGCUGACAAAAGUUCCCAUGAUAUUCCAACUAUGGGGACAAUAAGAGGUAAAGUUGUCAAGAUUUCAAAGUAUUCUAAGAAUUAAUGAGGACAAGUACCUUACAUGAUUAAAGUUAAAUUAGUGCCGAAUAAUUUUUGGGGGAAAUGAUGAGCUCUAGAUGGAUAAGUAUA